AGUGAACGCUGGCGGUAGGCCUAACACAUGCAAGUCGAACGGCAGCACAGUAAGAGCUUGCUCUUACGGGUGGCGAGUGGCGGACGGGUGAGGAAUACAUCGGAAUCUACUUUUUCGUGGGGGAUAACGUAGGGAAACUUACGCUAAUACCGCAUACGACCUACGGGUGAAAGCAGGGGAUCUUCGGACCUUGCGCGAUUGAAUGAGCCGAUGUCGGAUUAGCUAGUUGGCGGGGUAAAGGCCCACCAAGGCGACGAUCCGUAGCUGGUCUGAGAGGAUGAUCAGCCACACUGGAAAGGAGGCACGGUCCAGACUCCUACGGGAGGCAGCAGUGGGGAAUAUUGGACAAUGGGCGCAAGCCUGAUCCAGCCAUACCGCGUGGGUGAAGAAGGCCUUCGGGUUGUAAAGCCCUUUUGUUGGGAAAGAAAAGCAGCAGGUUAAUACCCCGCUGUUCUGACGGUACCCAAAGAAUAAGCACCGGCUAACUUC
rnacentral:rRNA from 1 species